rnacentral:RNase_P_RNA from 1 species
UAAGUGGGACAAAUGUUCGCGGCUGAUUUUUAUCAGGUGAGGAAAGUCCGGGCUUCACAGGGCAGGAUGCCGGAUAACGUCCGGUGGAGGCGACUCCAAGGCCAGUGCAACAGAAAUAUACCGCCAUGCGUGCAUGGUAAGGUUGGAAGGGCAGUGUAAGAGACUACCGCCCUGUUGGUAACAACAGGGGCAUAUGUAAACCCCAUCCGAAGCAAGACCGAAACGAAAACAAUGCAGUUGCCCGCUGGGUUUUCAGGUUGGUCGCUUGAUGUGGCUGGCAACAGUCAUACUAGAUAGAUGAACAUUCGAGACAUAACCCGGCUUAUCGUCCCGCUUACAGU